rnacentral:lncRNA from 1 species
UCUCCAGCACCCAAUGAGCGGAUGUCAUCUCUAUUUUGAAGACCAAAUUAUUCCUAGAGAGCCAGAUCUGGUAGGCGACAUACACCAUUCUUCUCCUCUAGGCACAGGUCAAUCCCUCAGCAGUACUCUAGUAGAUCACAUCGAGAAAAUGGUUCAGCUAAGGACUACUGCUCACCUUCUAUAAUUGAUCACCCGCCCUCCUCUAGAUCAACCUUACUCUCAGACAUCGCAGGAGUGUUGGGAAAAAUACCUCGAAUUCGAUCCACAGGAGUGAAAAUCUAGAUGCACAGAAGCCC